ACCUGACUGGGCUGAGUCGGGAAAGCAUGUGACUCUUGAUCUUGGGGUUGUGAGUUCAAGCCCCACGUUGAGUA
rnacentral:tRNA from 1 species